CCCGCUGAGUUUAAGCAUAUCACUAAGCGGAGGAAAAGAAACUAACAAGGAUUUCCCUAGUAGCGGCGAGCGAAACGGAAAGAGCCCAGCUUGGAAAUCGGGGUGUCUCUGCACCCCGAAUUGUAGUCUGGAGAAGGGUCCUCUGCAGCGGACCGGGUUUAAGUCCCUUGGAACGGGACGCCAGAGAGGGUGAGAGCCCGGUCUAGCCCGGACCCUGCUGCAUCACGAGGCUCUUUCGGCGAGUCGGGCUGUUUGGGAAUGCAUCCUUAAGUGGGUGGUAAAUUCCAUCCAAGGCUAAAUACUGGUGAGAGACCGAUAGCGCACAAGUACCGCGAGGGAAAGAUGAAAAGGACUUUGAAAAGAGAGUUAAAAAGUGCUUGAAAUUGCUGGGAGGGAAGCGAAUGGAUGCCUUGUGCGCCCCUUGGUUGUGUGUGGAACGGCGAGAGCUGGUCUGCCAAGCAAUGCAAGGGGCUGUCCAGCAUGGGAGGACGCGGCGGGAUAACGGCUUGUGAGCCUCUGGCUCCCUGCCAAUGCCGCCGCUGCCUCUGAAAAUGGCGGGGUGCUCCGGUGCUGGAACUUGGGCAUUCCAUCCGACCCGUCUUGAAACACGG
rnacentral:ncRNA from 1 species